rnacentral:lncRNA from 1 species
GGUGCCGGAGAGCCUCGGCUGACAUCCAGCGCACCCCUAAGCCGGGAGCACGACAGGACUGGGGAGGCUGUUCUCAAAGCUGGACCAUACGGGUCGUGAGGUCUCUGCCGGGACUGAGUCCAUCCAUCACGGGGACAAUUCCGCCUCUCUGCGAUCGCACUCCAGGGAGCCAGUCUGUCCCGCAGCCGUGUGUCCUUCUUUAUCACGAGGGAAAUGCCCGCAGGAGGGCAGCCGGCGGAGGGCAGGACCUGUGUGUGCCCCCAGUGAAUGUUAACUUGUUAACCUCCCCCACAGGCUUAUCUCUGCGAAACAGCUGAUGUAUCGCUCUCUCGGGCCACCAGCCUUCGCUGUCUCGGGCCACCGGCCUUCACUGGUGUUUUGUCCACAAUCCUCCUCUCUCUCAGCGACCAUGACCUGCAUCUAGAGGGCAGCAGCGACACACGAGUUCCAGCCUGAGCAGGUCCAAGAACAGGGCCAUGGGCAGCUUCGCGAGGGAAGGUGAGCCCAGUCCAGGCUGCGGAUCGCCGGCCCGGGUCGCGGAAUUGCCGGAAUUUCUGGAUGACCCGCUGAAUCUGAGGGGACAAGCGCCGGCAGAGAGGAGGAGCUGGGGCGACGGCAGCUCUGGUGCUGGACACUUACCCCACGAGCCAGGAAGGGCCUCGGAAUCGAAGGUGGUCAGGAGAACCGCCCAGUGCUCUGCCGUGGAUUCCGGUCAUUCUGUGGCAGGUCCCCCUGAUCUGCGUGCAUUUCACAUGGAACGAUUUCCCUGUCUCAAGCCGGCUUCGUCUCUGCGGUCGCUCAUUUCCGUCUAAUCACCUGUGGGCACCAAUACAGUUUAGGAGCAACCACCGGACGGGCCCAGGUUCCAAAAAGCUCCACACGAUGAUAUGUUUAUCGUGCCCCAAACACUUUUUUGGGCCCUUAACAUACCCUACCUCAUUUAACCCCAGAACGGUGCUUUUAUAACCCUCGUUGUUUUUUUUGUUUUGUUUUGUUUUUAAAGUAAACUCUACACCCAACAUGGGGCUUGAACUCAUGACCCCAAGAUCAAGA